AUGCUUCCUUUGGUAGCAUAAAUACUGAAAAAGGAAGAAUACAGAGAAGGUUAGUGUGUUCCCUGUGCAAGAAAAAAAAAAAGAAGAAUACUGAUAUUCU
ensembl:snRNA U6 U6 spliceosomal RNA